rnacentral:rRNA from 1 species
AACGAACGCUGGCGGCAUGCCUAACACAUGCAAGUCGAACGAUGCCUUCGGGCAUAGUGGCGCACGGGUGCGUAACGCGUAGGAAUCUGCCUUUCGGUUCGGAAUAACUCAGGGAAACUUGAGCUAAUACCGGAUAACGUCGCAAGACCAAAGAUUUAUCACCGAAAGAUGAGCCCGCGUAGGAUUAGCUAGUUGGUGAGGUAAAGGCUCACCAAGGCGACGAUCCUUAGCUGGUCUGAGAGGAUGAUCAGCCACACUGGGACUGAGACACGGCCCAGACUCCUACGGGAGGCAGCAGUGGGGAAUAUUGGACAAUGGGCGAAAGCCUGAUCCGGCAAUGCCGCGUGAGUGAUGAAGGCCUUAGGGUUGUAAAGCUCUUUUACCCGGGAAGAUAAUGACGGUACCGGGAGAAUAAGCCCCGGCUAACUCCGUG